rnacentral:rRNA from 1 species
AUUGAACGCUGGCGGCAGGCCUAACACAUGCAAGUCGAACGAGUGGCGGACGGGUGAGUAAUGUCUGGGAAACUGCCUGAUGGAGGGGGAUAACUGCUGGAAACGGUAGCUAAUACCGCAUACCAUCGGAUGUGCCCAGGUGGGAUUAGCUAGUGGGUGGGGUAACGGCUCACCGAGGCGACGAUCCCUAGCUGGUCCGAGAGGAUGACCGGCCACACUGGAACUGAGACACGGCCCAGACUCCUACGGGAGGCAGCAGUGGGGAAUAUUGCACAAGGGGCGCAAGCCUGAUGCAGCCAUGCCGCGGGUAUGAAGAAGGCCUUCGGGUUGUAAAGUACUUUCAGCGGGGAGGCGUUACCCGCAGAAGAAGCACCGGCUAACUCCGUGCCAGCAGCCGCGGUAAUUC